rnacentral:rRNA from 1 species
AUUGAACGCUGGCGGCAUGCCUUACGCAUGCAAGUCGAACGGUAACGGGCCUUCGGGUGCCGACGAGUGGCGAACGGGUGAGUAAUGUAUCGGAACGUACCUUUCAGUGGGGGAUAACGUAGCGAAAGUUACGCUAAUACCGCAUAUUCUGUGUGCAGGAAAGCAGGGGAUCGCAAGACCUUGCGCUGAUUGAGCGGCCGAUAUCAGAUUAGCUAGUUGGUGAGGUAAAGGCUCACCAAGGCGACGAUCUGUAGCGGGUCGGAGAGGAUGAUCCGCCACACUGGAACUGAGACACGGUCCAGACUCCUACGGGAGGCAGCAGUGGGGAAUUUUGGACAAUGGGGGCAACCCUGAUCCAGCCAUGCCGCGUGAGUGAAGAAGGCCUUCGGGUUGUAAAGCUCUUUCAGCCGGGAAGAAAUCGCACGGGCUAAUACCCUGUGUGGAUGACGGUACCGGAAUAAGAAGCACCGGCUAACUACGUGCCAGCCGCCGCCGUAAGAC